rnacentral:rRNA from 1 species
AUCAACUUUCGAUGGUAGGAUAGAGGCCUACCAUGGUGGUAACGGGUAACGGGGUGUUAGGGCACGACACCGGAGAGGGAGCNUGAGAAACGGCUACCACAUCCAAGGAUGGCAGCAGGCGCGCAAAUUACCCAAUCCCGACACGGGGAGGUAGUGACAAUAGAUAACAAUACGGGGUCCUUUAGGGUUUCGUAAUUGGAAUGAGUACAAUUUAAAUCUCUUAACGAGGAACAAUUGGAGGGCAAGUCUGGUGCCAGCAGCCGCGGUAAUUCCAGCUCCAAUAGCGUAUAUUAAAGUUGUUGCAGUUAAAAAGCUCGUAGUUGAAUUUCGGGAUCAGUACGCCGGUCGUGCCUUCGGUAUGCACUGGUGUCACUGGUUUCUCCCUUCUGAAGAACCAUCAUGCCUUUCAGUUGGUGUGGCGGGGAAUCAGGACUGUUACUUUGAAAAAAUUAGAGUGUUUAAAGCAGGCUCGCGCUUGAAUACAUUAGCAUGGAAUAAUGAAAUAGGACGUUUGACCCUAUUUUGUUGGUUUCUAGGAUCGACGUAAUGAUUAAUAGGGAUAGUUGGGGGCAUUAGUAUUCAAUUGUCAGAGGUGAAAUUCUUGGAUUUAUUGAAGACUAACUACUGCGAAAGCAUUUGCCAAGGAUGUUUUCAUUAAUCAAGAACGAAAGUUAGGGGAUCGAAGACGAUCAGAUACCGUCGUAGUCUUAACCAUAAACUAUGCCGACUAGGGAUCGGAUGAUGUUAAUUUUUUAAUGACUCAUUCGGCGCCUUACGGGAAACCAAAGUGUUUGGGUUC